rnacentral:lncRNA from 1 species
UGAGUAAUGGAAGUAAGCAAUCAGAUUGGAAAAAAGGGGCUCCUGCUAAAACGCAAACACCUUCUAAGCAACCCAAUUUAGGUGAUUCGAGUGCGAAGAGGACUCGUGAGAUUGAAUGCUUUAAGUGCAAAGGGCGUGGUCAUUAUAGUAGAGAAUGCCCUAACACGAGAUUACUUCUUCUAAAAGAUAACGGUGGGUACACUUC